AAAUCGGUACGCCGCCCCUCCUCUCGAUCCAUCCCCUCUGGCUGCGUUUUCUCUUUCCCUCGUCUCCCACUCCGCCGCCGCCGCCGCAUCUCCCACUCCGCCGCUGCCCGUACUGCUCCACCGGACGGGCCUCUUCUUCGAGCGCGGCGGCAGGAGCAGCUCCACCUCUCCACUCCCCCACGCGAGAACGCUCCUAACCCCACCAACAUGCCCGGCCGCCACUAGGGUUUCUUACCCUCUCUGCCCCGCCGCCACCUCUCCUCACUUUUCCCCACCGCCGUCUGGAGCUACUUCGUCGACAGCGUCAAUGGGGGCUUUCGCGAGACCUCCUGGCCUUCUGCCACCGCCGCCGAGUUCGUCCCCCAGGCUGACAUACUGCGAUCGGGACGCCGUCGGAUCCUCUGUCGCGGGCCCACGUCCCAGUCCUCUCCUUCCUCUCACAGUUCAUGUAGCCCCUACAUCCUCCCCUGAUUGUCCAGCCUCCACACGCGAAGCCACCGAGGCAGGAAUCGGAAGUGCCAGUCUGUGCAUCGUGUUCUCACGCCAACCCCAAGGUCGUCUUGCUGCCCUGUUGCAAGAAUUAUGUGUAUCUUUUCAGUAUCAGUCUGACAGAUUCAUGUGUAUCUUUUCAGUAUUCAAAAUUAGGCAAUUCAAGUGAUACAUAUAUUGUUUGGAAUUUCGUUGCUAGGCCAUGAUCGGUUCAAUUUAUCCAUCAUUUAAUGUUUUCAUUUUUCAAGAUGUACAGUAGUUACUUCUAUGGAAUUGUACUAACAAGAUUAUAUUCAGCUUCGUUAAUGUCCAGAUGCAAGUUGAUGAAUGACUGUUCAUUUUACUUGAGAAGAACUAAUUCACAUGUUCAAGAACAACUGCAGGAGUAUAAUUUCAUAAGCCUUUGUACUGAAUGCAACAUCCACGUGAUGAAUUACAGUUUAUUUGGAUGUGGAUGAGUUGGAUAUGCCAUUCCUCAAUGUGUACCUGGAUUAUCUUUGGGCACCUAAUUUUUGGGUAGGUGUUAAUUUUGCUCAAACUGUCUGUUUUAUUAUUCUAGCAGCCCGCUUCGCUUUGGUUCCUAAUUUUGCCGGAGAGAUUCACACUGUCAUUCAUAUUAUGAAUAUAGUUCAUAACCAGUAUUCUCUUUUAUCUAAUUAUAUGUACAGAAAGGAGUACUCUGAAGUGAAUUCAUGCUAUGUUAACAGUCUAACAAACAUCUUGGAGGUGUGAAUGCUUUCUUCGGUCUGACAAGUAAUCAAUAAUUGAUGGUAUACUGGGAUUUUUCUCAUACUUCUAGCACUUCCUCAUUGACAAUAAAGCAAGUACUAUCACAACAAAGGCUGUUACCUCCAGUUGUAUACCCCAAGAAAUGGUCUGCUUUCAUGGGGCUUAUUGAAUCCAGGAAAUAACUGUGAGUAGUAGCGAACCAGACAUGAAAAGUUUCAGAGAACUACGAAAACUCUGGUCAGUUUUGUCGGGAUCUUGUGACACAGUUCCAGGACUCUAUUGACUAAGCCUCUUUCAGUUAGUACAAUGAUCAAGGAUCUCAUUUGAGUAUGGGUUUGCACAUCUGAGUGCUGGUGAUCUUCUUCGUGAAGAAGUUAAAGUGAUAUGGAGCAGAUUAAAAUUGACCAUGAGUUCGUACUAUUAAUUGAAGGCUCAAGGGAAGAGACAGCGGCAUAUUCUUCGUUGAAAUCAGGAAUGAAUUCCACUCGUUAUGCAAUACCACUAUGAGAAAAGUAGGGAAAUGCUGGACCUCUGCAAAAUGUGCUCGUUCACCUCGCGGUCUCACCCCCAAAACAGAGGAGAGGAGCAGGGAGCUCCUCUCUCACACUCGUCGGCUCCAAGGAGCUCCGCCGCCACAUAGGGCAAACCAAGGCUGCAACGUUUGAAUAUUAUACUCAGUCAGUUGCUCGACUACUUACAGUCCUAUUACUUGAGACUUAAUACUCGGUCAGCUGCCGUGUACAUUGUUCUGACAUAAAUGACACCAUGUCUAUGCGCAAGUCAGAAGGAACUUACCAUCUAAUAUGUCUAAUUAGUGUGGUACAUGCUUCAGUACUGCAAGUUGGAGUAGCAAGUAAGUAUACAUCAAAAGAAAGUACUGCUUCAGUACUACUCCCUCCGUUCCAAAAUAGAUGACUCGACUUUGAGUUAGUACAAAGUCGAGUCAUCUAUUUUGGAACGGAGGGAGUACAUGCUUAGUACUGACCAUCUAAAAAGAUGUCUAAUUAGUGUGCACGAAUCAGGUUAAACCCGCAUGCCUACCUGCACAUUGAUACUCAUACCUGGCUGUGAUAGAAGUUUCAUCUUGAGAUUCAAUUCUUUGAUUUAUGAUGCCCAUUCAUAUGCACAAUGAGAACAUAUAUCCUUCUUACUAAUCUCUGUUUUUUUAAGUUGAAACUAUUUCUUUGUUACUUCAUGUAUGUGAAGUGCAAUCAUAGUCUGUCACAAACUUGUUUGAGGAUGGCAAAAGACUGACCUUUUGCGGGGCAGAGAAAAGACCGGCUUAUUUUAUUUUAACACAACAUAGCAAGCUCCAUAUAUUUCAGUUAGUACAUGGCAGGAUGCAGACUAUGUGCAGUAUUAGUGGUGUAUGGUUAGACUCCAAAAUUGCAGUAUUAGUGGUGUUUUAAAGAGAAAGGUUCGUAAAUGAUGUUGUUUUCUACUAAGAAAUUUCAGUAGUCGGUGUAACCAUUGAGUGCCAAUGUGAUGGGCAUUUAAGAUUUAGAUUCAGAACUGUGGGGUUCAGCACAGAUGGCUUCACUUCAAUAUUUUUCCCCAUGUGGUUGCUGGAUGCAUACAUAUCUAUGUACGCUGGUACAUAUCCAUCCAUUCAACUUCAGUUUUGAUGCAUCUUGUAUAAUGAAUCCUACAUUAUGUGGAGAAAUUUAGACAUAUAAGAGUAUCUGUAAGCCAACCACAUACCACACAUUUUAAAGGCUUAUUUUCUCUACAUCUAUACUAGCUUGAACCAAGUAUUUCUAUUUUCUUUUUAUUUGUUGCCAAAAUUGAAGGAAUGUCGAUAUGGUGUAUUUUUACAACAAUCAGCGUGUUGACUUGGAGCUUGUCCAUUUGCGACGCACUUCUUAUUCUUGGAUUAAGCCUAAUGCUUGCUCUACCAAUCAUGUAGUACUGUUGUGAACUCAUAGGUGAAACCAUUCUCUAUCCAAUACAGAGUUAGCAUAGCUGAGCAUGAUUAGGAGGGAAGGAUUAUUUGGAUUGCUUUACGUAGACUGGCAUGGCUGAUCUUCCCUUCCAUUAUUAUUGCUACUUUAUGUUUUAAUUCCAUUGUUCUUCACUUGAUCUUGGGAUCUAUGUUCCAGUGACUUCCUGAACUUUUACUUGCUGAUGAGAAGUUUCUAUUUUAUUUUUUCUUUCACUUGAUCUUUAGGUUUACAGGGUUAAUGGAUCCAUGUUUCAGCGACUUUGUAGAAGUGUGUUUACUUAUCUUGCUUUUGUUGCUACCGCUGGUGAAGACAAACUCCAGAAAAGGGAGUGAAAUAAGAAAGACGAGAGGUUGCACAAGAUGAGUAAUGCUGGGUAGCGGUAGAGGCUGAAACUGUGAUGAUGAUGCGUAUCUGACCAUUAAUGUACAAUACGCCAUCAUCUCUCGGAGUAUGCGGGGAAGUUUAGAAAAGAUGCAGCAAUGGUGUGGUGAGAUGACAUACAUUCUAUGUGACGACAAUGCACAUGCU